GCGCCGCUAGCUCAACUGGCAGAGCAGCGGACUCUUAAUCCGCGGGUUCGGGGUUCGAGUCCCUGGCGGCGCACGA
rnacentral:tRNA from 2 species